UACGUAGGAUGCAAGCGUUGUCCGGAAUUAUUGGGCGUAAAGCGUGCGCAGACGGUCAUGUAAGUCGGGUGUGAAAGCCCCGGGCUCAACCUGGGAAUUGCAUUCGAGACUGUGUGGCUAGGGUGCGGAAGAGGGAAGCGGAAUUUCCGGUGUAGCGGUGAAAUGCGCAGAUAUCGGAAGGAACACCAGUGGCGAAAGCGGCUUCCUGGUCCAGCACCGACGUUCAGGCACGAAAGCGUGGGGAGCAAACAGG
rnacentral:rRNA from 1 species